rnacentral:SRP_RNA from 1 species
GCUGGGCACGGUGGCACUUGCCUGUAGUCCCAGCUACUCGGGAGGCUGAGGUAGGAGGAUCGUUUGAGCCAGGAGUUCUGGGCUGUAGUGGGCUAUGCCAAUUGGGUGUCCUCACUAAGUUUGGCAUCAAUAUGGUAACCUCCAGGGAGCGAGCAGAGGACCACCAGGUUGCCUAAGGAGGGGUGAACUGGCCCAGGUCGGAAACGGAGCAGGUCAAAACUCCCAUGCUGAUCAGUAGUGGGAUUGUGCCUGUGAGUAGCCACUGCACUCCAGCCUGGGCAACAUAGCAAGACCGCGUCUCU